rnacentral:lncRNA from 1 species
UUAGAAGUCCAAAUUCAAUAUUGUCUUGAGUUACUUGUUUUCUUGAAGAUAACAAUAACUCAAGAUUUGAAUUGCCAUAGUUUGAAAAUGUUUGCAUAGAAUAUGGAACGACAAUUGGUUGGAAAGAGAAAUCAAAACUGGAAGAGUGAAUAAUGAUGGGAAAAGAUUGAAAACCUUCCCUUUUAAGAUUGGGUUCUAUGGUUGGAGUCAAAAUUGCUCUUAGUAGCACUUCCUCCUUUUCUUUCUUUUCCCUUUCUUGUCUUUCCU